CUCUGUCCUGUUUCUUUGAAACGCAUUCUUUCAACAACAAAAACACCCCUCACUGAACACCUGGUCUGUGCCAGAGAACAAGAAGAAGGAUCCAAGAGACGGCCUCACCACGGGGAGAUUCCACAACUGAAAUGACAACUGUGCGCCAUCCACUGCGUCUCCACAGGGUUGAAGACAAACUGACCUUUCUCAGUACAGAUGCACACUGUGCUCAUGUGCUUCCUUGCUGCUGGUGGAGUUUGAGCUGAUUAAAGCAGUAAUAAGAGAUCACCCCAUGACAGGGACAGGAUCCCAGACUCCAGGCACAGCAGGGGGUCAUACACAGGAGGUCCCUGGAGAUCUCUGGAAGCAGGACGUCUGCUUGGUCUGCCCAAAGGGAUGAGGCAACAGGAAAACAGUGUCCAAAGCUAGCCCUGCUUCUCUGAGCCAGUCUCUUGCCUGGUAAACGAAUGUUGGCACUGUGGACACCGCGUAAGUAAACACUGGAAGGAAUGAGUAAAACUGUGCGAUUGAGGUUGUUUUGUUACUGAAAUAUCCCUAUGAAGACAUGCCUCCGGUUUUCGAAGCACUUACGGAAUUAGAGCACACACACGCACAGAGCCAGCCCCUCGGCAGCCUCUGGGGACCAGGGCUUGGAACGCGCUCCAGACCUGCCCUGAAGCGUGAAGAAUGAGGCCAUUAAGCUGUAAAAAACAUUCGUGAAAAGAAGGAAACCCUAGAUUUAUGAGCACUGAUGGUUCCAUGAGAAACAAGUGUCUCAAGAAGGCUCACUGACUCUGGCACCUGCAGCCUUCAGCUCUGAGGACCCCCCUCUUUACAGCCAUCAAAAUUACUGUCAGAACAGAUGCAUCAAUCUGUGUGCAUGCUUUGUUUUAGGCAUGAUGGUUCCCGAGUGCUAGCUUGAGACUGGCCUGCUGACAUUCAAGAGCACACCCAUCAGAAGGGACACCUCGGCCGGAGCCUGCGCUGACCCAACCUACUCUUAAGGAAGAGCACUGGAUUGGCCUUGGAGGAACCAUCCAUGAUGAAUAUGGAACCAAGAUACCAGCACUAUGUCCCUAGCCAUGAAGACUGGCUCAUAGAAGGGCAGGUGAUAUGACCAUCCCAGGGACUUUGAGAAAGGGCAUUUUGGUUGGCCUGCCAAGGCGCCAACCUAACCCAGAGAUAAGUGCAGGAGACUGGCAGCAAGAGGGAGAGGUGCUGCUGUCAGAGCUUUUAGGACAUCUUGAUACAGCCAGGCCUGAAGGCAGUUAACCCUAGAAUUUUCAUGUAUAUUGCUCAAUGACAUCAUCUUUUAUUUCUUGUGUCACUUGCAUUCAAGAGUCCUGACUGAUAUAAACUGUUUCCCAACUUUAGAACUCAUUCAUUGCUGAAAAAAUGAAUGAGAUAUAAUCCUUUUGAAUUAUAAGCUUAUAACAUACCUGUGUGUGUG
rnacentral:lncRNA from 1 species